UCGGGGCCCUUUCUAACUAAAGCCUAUAUGUCUGCCAGGUAUCUGAAUAGUCACUCUUUUCCGCAUUAUAGACGUCGGAUCCCGCCACAUUGACGUCUAUAUCCAAUUCUAGACGUCCGUUACUUCAGUAACCAACGUCUAUAAUCUAACCAGGUAUGUGAAAAGUCAUUUGUUUCCGCCAACUAGAUGUCGCAUCCCACCAAG
rnacentral:lncRNA from 1 species